rnacentral:rRNA from 1 species
GACGAACGCUGGCGGCGUGCCUAAUACAUGCAAGUUGAGCGCUGAAGGUUGGUACUUGUACCAACUGGAUGAGCAGCGAACGGGUGAGUAACGCGUGGGGAAUCUGCCUUUGAGCGGGGGACAACAUUUGGAAACGAAUGCUAAUACCGCAUAAAAACUUUAAACACAAGUUUUAAGUUUGAAAGAUGCAAUUGCAUCACUCAAAGAUGAUCCCGCGUUGUAUUAGCUAGUUGGUGAGGUAAAGGCUCACCAAGGCGAUGAUACAUAGCCGACCUGAGAGGGUGAUCGGCCACAUUGGGACUGAGACACGGCCCAAACUCCUACGGGAGGCAGCAGUAGGGAAUCUUCGGCAAUGGACGAAAGUCUGACCGAGCAACGCCGCGUGAGUGAAGAAGGUUUUCGGAUCGUAAAACUCUGUUGGUAGAGAAGAACGCUGGCGAGAGUGGAAAGCUCAUCAAGUGACGGUAACUACCCAGAAAGGGACGGCUAACUACGUG